ensembl:lncRNA
CCUGAGCUUUUGUGAAGGCGCGUCUAAAAUAGAAUAACAAACAUAAUUAGAUAGGGAAUGGUUUUAAAUAAUUGCCUGCAUCUUUGACUUCCGUCGCAUAUAUUCUGCCUCACACGUCUUACUUUCAAUAGCUGCGCGCGACACGUGUUGGAUCUCUUUGCAGUCGGGGCUCUGAAAGAUCUGCACGUUAGGUCCUCGAUAUUGGAGUUGAAGUCAGUAUGCUCUGGAUCUCCUGUUUAAAACGGCCCCUCCCAACGGGGUCAACAUGGCUGAUGCAUGGUCAGUGUAUCAGUUUUGCGGGAUGUCUUUCACCGCAUACACGAAGUACCACCUGGAAAGACAUGCCAUGUUGAGUCGGCUCCAUGGCAACCAGAUGGAGUCCAAUGGCCAUCAGAUCUUAAUCUGUGUGAGAUUAUGCUUGAAUACUCAUGGAAUCAUCUAGAUGGCCCUGCUUUACAUCUAGCAAGAAUAAUCACUGUACUGAUGGAGUGACCAUUUCCUUUAAGAUGAAGCAUGCCAACGGCACAUUUCUAUUGGCUGCUUUGCGCUGAGGUGAUCGUUCAGUUCUGAGUGCUCAACUGUCAUCUAGAAAUGGAGACGUCACUCCUGAUGUGAUGAAAUGAUCUUUGAGGUUUGGUUCUGAGUGCUCAACUGUUUCAUCUAGAAAUGGAGAUGUCACUCCUGAUGUGAUGGAACAAUCAUUGGGGUGAGUUUAAUUAUUCCAGUGGUGACCGCAUGAAGUGCAGCUUCGCUGUGAUGUAGAUGAUUCCUGCCAUUCGUAGUUUCCACCAGAGGUUGAAAGACCAAAGAUGGCCCAAAUACCUUCCUUGGAUGUCUGAGCGAAAUUCUGCUGCUAGUCGGACAUCUUUUCCUUUGAGAAGUUUCAUCAUGUUUCUUUCUCCACAGUGCAUCGGUUUUGCGGGUUGUCAUCACCGCAUAAACAAAGUACCACCUGGAAAGACAUGCCAUGUUGAGUCGGCUCCAUGGCAACCAGAUGGAGUCCAAUGGCCAUCAGAUCUUAAUCUGUGAGGUGUGUAUUUAUAAUUCGAGUGGGUCUACUUGUAUGCCUCGCUGUGAUGAAGAUGAUUUCCUGCCAUUCGUAGUUUCCACCAGAGGUUGAAAGACCAAAGAUGGCCCAAAUACCUUCCUUGGAUGUCUGAGCGAGAUUUUAUAAGAAUUGAAUUGUACAAGAUAACAAAAAGGAAGAUUUGUAAUUUUUCCUUCUGGUCUUUACAGAUUAUGCUUGAAUACUCCUGGGAUCAUCUGGGUGGCCCUGCUUUACAUCUUGGUAGCACGAAUAAUGGAGAUAUUAUCACUGUACUGAUGGAGUGACCAUUUCCGUUAAGAUGAAGCAUGGCAACGGCACAUUUCUAUUGGCUGCUGUGCGCUGAGGUGAGUUGAUUUGGUACAUUUUCCAGGCUAGCAAGUGACCAUCGCUGUGAUGAAGAUGAUUUCCUGCCAUUCGUAGUUUCCACCAGAGGUUGAAAGACCAAAGAUGGCCCAAAUACCUUCCUUGGAUGUCUGAGCGAUAUUUGACUGCUUACAUAAUAUGCUUCGCUAAUGGAGAAACCUGUGCUUAUAUUGUAUUCCCUUUUUCCUUUCAGGUGAUCGUUCAGGGUCAGUUCUGAGUGCUCAACUGUCAUCUAGAAAUGGAGACGUCACUCCUGAUGUGAUGGAACGAUCAUUAGGGUGAGUUCAGUUAUUCCAGUGAUGACCGCAUGAAGUGCAGCUUCGCUGUGAUGUAGAUGAUUCCUGCCAUUCGUAGUUUCCACCAGAGGUUGAAAGACCAAAGAUGGCCCAAAUACCUUCCUUGGAUGUCUGAGCGAGAUUUGAUUAGAUUUGAAUUACACAAGAUUACAAAAGAAAAGACUUGUAAUUUUUCCUUCUGGUCUUUACAGAUUAUGCUUGAAUACUCAUGGAAUCAUCUAUAUGGCCCUGCUUUACAUCUUGGUAGCAAGAAAAAUUAAUGUACUGAUGGAGUGACCAUUUCCGUUAAGAUGAAGCAUGCCAACGGCACAUUUCUAUUGGCUGCUUUGUGCUGAGGUGAGUUUUGGUGCAUUUUCAAGGCUAGCAAGUGACCAUCGCUGUGAUGAAGUUGAUUUCCUGCCAUUCGUAGUUUCCACCAGAGGUUGUAAAACCAAAGAUGGCCCAAAUACCUUCCUUGGAUGUCUGAGCGAUAUUUGACUGCCUACAUAAUAUGCUUCACCAAUGGAGAAACUUGUGCUUAUUUUUCCCUGUUGUAUUCUCUUUUUCGUUCAGUUCUGAGUGCUCAACUGUUUCAUCGAGAAAUGGAGAUGUCACUCCUGAUGUGAUGGAACGAUUAUUGGGGUGAGUUCAGUUAUUCCAGUGAUGACCGCAUGAAGUGCAGCUUCGCUGUGAUGUAGAUGAUUCCUGCCAUUCGUAGUUUCCACCAGAGGUUGAAAGACCAAAGAUGGCCCAAAUACCUUCCUUGGAUGUCUGAGCGAGAUUUGAUUAGAUUUGAAUUACACAAGAUUACAAAAGAAAAGACUUGUAAUUUUUCCUUCUGGUCUUUACAGAUUAUGCUUGAAUACUCAUGGAAUCAUCUAUAUGGCCCUGCUUUACAUCUUGGUAGCAAGAAAAAUUAAUGUACUGAUGGAGUGACCAUUUCCGUUAAGAUGAAGCAUGCCAACGGCACAUUUCUAUUGGCUGCUUUGCGCUGAGGUGAUCGUUCAGGGUCAGUUCUGAGUGCUCAACUGUCAUCUAGAAAUGGAGACGUCACUCCUGAUGUGAUGGAACGAUCAUUAGG